rnacentral:rRNA from 1 species
AGAACUUAGCAGAGAUGCUUUGGUGCCUUCGGGAACUCUGAGACAGGUGCUGCAUGGCUGUCGUCAGCUCGUGUUGUGAAAUGUUGGGUUAAGUCCCGCAACGAGCGCAACCCUUAUCCUUUGUUGCCAGCGGCUCGGCCGGGAACUCAAAGGAGACUGCCGGUGAUAAACCGGAGGAAGGUGGGGAUGACGUCAAGUCAUCAUGGCCCUUACGGCCAGGGCUACACACGUGCUACAAUGGCGCAUACAAAGAGAAGCGACCUCGCGAGAGCAAGCGGACCUCAUAAAGUGCGUCGUAGUCCGGAUUGGAGUCUGCAACUCGACUCCAUGAAGUCGGAAUCGCUAGUAAUCGUAGAUCAGAAUGCUACGGUGAAUACGUUCCCGGGCCUUGUACACACCGCCCGUCACACCAUGGGAGUGGGUUGCAAAAGAAGUAGGUAGCUUAACCUUCGGGAGGGGCGCUUACCACUUUGUGAUUCAUGACUGGGGUGAAGUCGUAACAAGGUAGGCGUAGCGAG